rnacentral:snoRNA from 1 species
UCUGCACAUUGUUAGAGCUUGGAGUUGAGGCCGCUGGCUGGCCGAUGAACUCACAAGUGUAGGUAGUGUGCUACACGAGGGGCAAGUCUUUUCACUAACACCACAGGGGUCUCUGGCCCAAUGAGUGGAGUUUGAUAGUAAUUCUUGCUACAAAU